rnacentral:snRNA from 1 species
UUGCCUUAAACUAAUGAGUAAGGAAAACAAAGCGAGCGGUGGGAGCUGCUCGCCGCGCCGACUAUAUUAGUGCGCAUGAAUUUGUGGAGGGGUUAUAGGCUGGCCAAGCGUUGACGCUGCUUACUUUGCAGAACUCGCUUGUGCGGGCCUCCC